rnacentral:rRNA from 1 species
UACAGAGGUGGCAAGCGUUGUUCGGAAUUACUGGGCGUAAAGGGCGCGUAGGCGGUUCGUUAAGUCCUGUGUGAAAUCCCCCGGCUCAACUGGGGAACUGCACAGGAAACUAGCGGGCUUGAGUUCGGGAGAGGGAAGCGGAAUUCCGGGUGUAGCGGUGAAAUGCGUAGAUAUCCGGAGGAACACCGGUGGCGAAGGCGGCAUCCUGG